rnacentral:rRNA from 1 species
UACGUAGGGUGCAAGCGUUAAUCGGAAUUACUGGGCGUAAAGCGUGCGCAGGCGGUUUGUAAGUUUGUCGUGAAAGCCCCGGGCUCAACCUGGGAAUUGCGAUGAAGACUGCAAGGCUUGAAUCUGGCAGAGGGGGGUAGAAUUCCACGUGUAGCAGUGAAAUGCGUAGAGAUGUGGAGGAAUACCGAUGGCGAAGGCAGCCCCCUGGGAUAACACUGACGCCUCAUGCACGAAAGCGUGGGAGCAAACAGG